CUAAACCCCAUCGGAAAACAUCCAUACCUGGACUCACUGCGGCAGGGAUGGGAACAGCAGUACCUGAACCCAGAUUCUUCUGCGCUUCACAAAGUUAUGCACCCUGUUCUGCAUUUCUCUGAGUUCAGAAAGGUGGCAACUUUUAUGCCUCUCUGUGUCCUGUAAAGUAAUUAAAGGGCAGCCAGUUACCAUGUUUGCAGCCUUAGAAACAGUAUUCAGG